GACGAACGCUGGCGGCGUGCCUAACACAUGCAAGUCGAGCGGAGAUUAGCGGAUGGUAACUGAAGCUUUUCUUAGCGGCGGACGGGUGAGUAACACGUGGGCAACCUGCCUCGAAGUGGGGGAUAACAUUGAGAAAUCAGUGCUAAUACCGCAUAACAUACAGCUCUCGCAUGGGAGAAGUAUCAAAGGAGAAAUCCGCUUUGAGAUGGGCCCGCGGCUGAUUAGCUAGUUGGUGAGGUAAUGGCUCACCAAGGCGACGAUCAGUAGCCGACCUGAGAGGGUGACCGGCCACACUGGAACUGAGACACGGUCCAGACUCCUACGGGUGCAG
rnacentral:rRNA from 1 species